AUUGAACGCUGGCGGCAGGCCUAACACAUGCAAGUCGAGCGGAUGAAGGGAGCUUGCUCCUGGAUUCAGCGGCGGACGGGUGAGUAAUGCCUAGGAAUCUGCCUGGUAGUGGGUGAUAACGUCCGGAAACGGGCGCUAAUACCGCAUACGUCCUGAGGGAGAAAGUGGGGGAUCUUCGGACCUCACGCUAUCAGAUGAGCCUAGGUCGGAUUAGCUAGUUGGUGGGGUAAAGGCCUACCAAGGCGACGAUCCGUAACUGGUCUGAGAGGAUGAUCAGUCACACUGGAACUGAGACACGGUCCAGACUCCUACGGGAGGCAGCAGUGGGGAAUAUUAGACAAUGGGCGAAAGCCUGAUCCAGCCAUGCCGCGUGUGUGAAGAAGGUCUUCGGAUUGUAAAGCACUUUAAGUUGGGAGGAAGGGCAGUAAGUUAAGACCUUGCUGUUUUGACGUUACCAACAGAAUAAGCACCGGCUAACUUCGUG
rnacentral:rRNA from 1 species